AAUUACACGAUGUGACAUGCGCGACGAAUACAAAUAACCAUGCUUGUUAAGAUACUUGAGUAUCAAUCGCCAAGAGUUCCGAGUCAGUUGGGGACGAAUUAACCCGAGAAAACCAGUCCUCAAUUGUAACAUAGAUUUUUCCUAAUCGUUGGCGGCUCCUUAUCAGCUUGUCAGUGUAUCGAAUUUCUCGCACUGACCUCAGAUUUCACUUCACUCUCCCCACAGUCUCGACCUUUUCGAUGACCCAGCUUUCUUCCAUCCUAUCGCCUUUUCGCAGUUGGUGCAGGGUCUUGCAAAGUUUGCAGCGCAGGCUCUCAUUUUCUAGACCAAACGAAGGUGUCAGUUCCAGUGGUCGUAAUAAAUUCCCGUAAGCUAUCAGGUAGGACUGUCUCCUCGUCCCAAACCCAGUUCGCCGAAGGGACGGAGUUUUAUCACUGUCGCGAUCGUCCUCUACCAUUCCGAGGAGGUUUCGUUGAUAUCCGGGAAAUUUCAUCCUGGAAACAUAUCUGGGUAGUAGCGAAAGAGAGAGAAAUGAGCACAAAUUUUGAGUGCACAGAAGGUAUGGCAGUGCUCUUUGUCCAACACAGCAUUCCACUAAGAAGGCUCAAAACUGAAACGAUUCUGCCAAUUCGUGCAUGAAGGAGAUUCUUAUCGUGGAGAAAUUCGCUCCCCUCGAAAGUCUCCGAAAUCACGGUUGAAGACGACCUGUCCGUGCUCGAUGUUUGAUCCGGACCGCAGACCAGACCGCGAUACGCGUUGGUGGAUGGACUGUCAACCUCACAUCCGCGCCCUUAGGGAAGUCAUGUACUCAGCCGACGCGAACAAAGAAGUGGAGAUACUCUUGCACAAGUGUGUCUCUGUACAUGGCCACGAUCAACUAUAAUUCGUCGCUUGACAAUGAGAAGAUUUACAUUGCUCUCACAGGUUGAACGAGUCGCCCCGCUCUCAUUGCGAUCAUUUCUCUGUACCCUCUUGUAUGCGAUAUUUGUUCAGAACGUCACGAGUUUGCGUAAUUUGUUCAGAACUUCUGAACUUU
rnacentral:lncRNA from 1 species